CUUGCUUCUCUUGAGAGCGGCGGACGGGUGAGUAAUGCCUAGGAAUCUGCCUGGUAGUGGGGGAUAACGUCCGGAAACGGACGCUAAUACCGCAUACGUCCUACGGGAGAAAGCAGGGGACCUUCGGGCCUUGCGCUAUCAGAUGAGCCUAGGUCGGAUUAGCUAGUUGGUGGGGUAAUGGCUCACCAAGGCGACGAUCCGUAACUGGUCUGAGAGGAUGAUCAGUCACACUGGAACUGAGACACGGUCCAGACUCCUACGGGAGGCAGCAGUGGGGAAUAUUGGACAAUGGGCGAAAGCCUGAUCCAGCCAUGCCGCGUGUGUGAAGAAGGUCUUCGGAUUGUAAAGCACUUUAAGUUGGGAGGAAGGGCAGUAAAUUAAUACUUUGCUGUUUUGACGUUACCGACAGAAUAAGCACCGGCUAACUCUGUGCCAGCAGCCGCGGUAAUACAGAGGGUGCAAGCGUUAAUCGGAAUUACUGGGCGUAAAGCGCGCGUAGGUGGUUCGUUAAGUUGGAUGUGAAAUCCCCGGGCUCAACCUGGGAACUGCAUUCAAAACUGACGAGCUAGAGUAUGGUAGAGGGUGGUGGAAUUUCCUGUGUAGCGGUGAAAUGCGUAGAUAUAGGAAGGAACACCAGUGACGAAGGCGACCACCUGGACUGAUACUGACACUGAGGUGCGAAAGCGUGGGGA
rnacentral:rRNA from 1 species